rnacentral:rRNA from 1 species
AUUGAACGCUGGCGGCCGGCCUAACACAUGCAAGCCGAGCGAACGGCGGACGGGUGAGUAAUGUAUGGUGACUGCCCGAUAGAUGUGGAUAACUACUGGAAACGGUUGCUUAUACCGCAUACUAUCGUAUAACCCAUAUGGGAUUUGCUAGUAGGUGAGGUAAUGGCUCACCUAGGCGAAGAUCCCUAGCUGGUCUGAGAGGCUGAUCAGGCAGACGGGGACUGGGACACGGGACAGACUCGUACGGAGGCAUCAGUGGGGAAGAUUGCAAGAUGGUCGUAAGCCUGAUGCAGCCUUGCCGCGUGUAUGAGGAGGGCACUAGGGUUGUAAAGUGCUUUCAGUCGGGGGGCGUUACCGACAGAAGAGGCACCGGCUAACUCCGUGCUGGCAGCCGCGGUAAUAC